rnacentral:tRNA from 1 species
GAGAGAGGCUUGUAGCAAUGAAAACUGCUAAUUUUCAUCCCCUCGGUUAAAAUCCGAAGCUCCCUCG